rnacentral:lncRNA from 1 species
GAAAAGUGAGUUCCUAAUAAGAUGAAAUCAUCGUUGGACUUCCAAUCAAAGCAAUUCAUAGGAUCAACACUUACAAAGAUUCCAGUAAACGUUCUCAUUGUCUUUGAUUGAUUACAAACAGAUUUCUGCCUAUCGCACAAAGCCCAUGCUUGUAAUCUGACGGGAACUAUUAAAAACAAGUGAACAUAUCAGGAAAACAUCUACUGAUCUCCAUCCAUUACGCCAUGUAAGUUGGUUCCCUUGGAGUUCAGGUAAUACAUAGACAACCAAAUCAACUGAAUAGAGAAAGAAAUCUGCACUAUACUGGUAGCUAAGCGAGACCUGCAGGAGCACAGGAGCAUGGUUUGAUCAUGGAAUUGGGAAUCAGUUUAAAAAAGAAAGGGGGAGAGGCUAGGGUGGAAGGGAUCUCACCAAGAUGUAGCUAUGGAGGGGGGCGACUGGAGGAAGCAGCUCGGGUGCUUGCAUGGCUAGGUGGGCUCCGGCCUUGGGGCGGCACACGCACCAUCCUGUCACCGCAAGUAGUAGUGCUGCAGUCCUUUCCCAACCGCCGUCGCGCUCGUGACUCCGAGCCAUCGCCGGCGACGUCGCGCUCGUGGCUCCUAGCCGCCGCCGCCGCACUGCUUGAUCUCUAUCUGUUUGAAAGCAGGAAUCGCGAUUGGAUCGAAGCACCAUCUCGAUGAAUCCCCUUUUCUGGCGGAGGCCAAAAAGUAAAGAGGGACGAACCUGGGGCCGCCGGAGACGCGCCUGUCAGGUAGCAGUGUAUCUGAAGAUAUAUCUUCAGUUAACUGUACCAUUCCUGACACUUACCGUUUCAGCUGAUCCAACGGUUCAAG